rnacentral:rRNA from 1 species
UACGAAGGGGGCUAGCGUUGUUCGGAAUCACUGGGCGUAAAGCGCACGUAGGCGGACUUUUAAGUCAGGGGUGAAAGCCUGAGGCUCAACCUCAGAACUGCCCUUGAUACUGGGAGUCUUGAGUAUGGUAGAGGUUGGUGGAACAGCAAGUGUAGAGGUGAAAUUCGUAGAUAUUUGCUAGAACACCAGUGGCGAAGGCGGCCAACUGGACCAUAACUGACGCUGAGGUGCGAAAGUGUGGGGAGCAAACGGG